GAUGAACGCUGGCGGCGUGCCUAAUACAUGCAAGUCGAGCGAACAGACGAGGAGCUUGCUCCUCUGACGUUAGCGGCGGACGGGUGAGUAACACGUGGAUAACCUACCUAUAAGACUGGGAUAACUUCGGGAAACCGGAGCUAAUACCGGAUAAUAUAUUGAACCGCAUGGUUCAAUAGUGAAAGACGGUUUUGCUGUCACUUAUAGAUGGAUCCGCGCCGCAUUAGCUAGUUGGUAAGGUAACGGCUUACCAAGGCAACGAUGCGUAGCCGACCUGAGAGGGGGAUCGGCCACACUGGAACUGAGACACGGUCCAGACUCCUACGGGAGGCAGCGGUAGGGAAUCUUCCGCAAUGGGCGAAAGCCUGACGAAGCAACGCCGCGUGAGUAAUGAAGGUCUUCGGAUCGUAAAACUCUGUUAUUGGGGAAGAACAAAUGUGUAAGUAACUAUGCACGUCUUGACGGUACCUAAUCAGAAAGCAACGGCUAACUACGU
rnacentral:rRNA from 1 species